rnacentral:rRNA from 1 species
GUGGGGAAUAUUGGACAAUGGGGGAAACCCUGAUCCAGCGACGCCGCGUGUGUGAAGAAGGCCUGCGGGUUGUAAAGCACUUUUAGUGGGGAGGAAAAGCUCGGACCUAACACGUCCGGGAAUUGACUUAACCCAAAGAAAAAGCACCGGCUAACUCUGUGCCAGCAGCCGCGGUAAUACAGAGGGUGCAAGCGUUAAUCGGAAUUACUGGGCGUAAAGCGUGCGUAGACGGUUAUCUAAGUCGGGUGUGAAAUCCCCGGGCUCAACCUGGGAAUUGCAUUCGAGACUGAAUAGCUAGGGUACGGAAGAGGGAAGUGGAAUUUCCGGUGUAGCGGUGAAAUGCGUAGAUAUCGGAAGGAACAUCAGUGGCGAAAGCGACUUCCUGGUCCAGUACCGACGUUCAGGCACGAAAGCGUGGGGAGCAAACAGGAUUAGAUACCCCAGUAGUCC